UGUCGUGCCGGGCGUCGACGGCCUGCGUCGCGCGCUGGCCGCGCGCCGCGACGCGCGGCGCGAUGCCGGCCAGGUCGUAGCCGGCCGCGGCGGCC
rnacentral:tRNA from 1 species